rnacentral:tRNA from 1 species
GUUUCAGUGACUUACAGCCGGAUGGCACGCCCUUUCACGGCGCAAACGCGGGUUCAAAUCCCGCCGGGGACGCCA